CAUGACGAAGCCAAUCGUCGAAAUCACGAGGUAUCACGAGGUAUCGUGCCACUCAAAUCUCACCGUUUCACCUUUCAGUUGCAGCUGGUACAGGGUAGGAAAAGAAAGAAAGAAAGAAAAGAAAAAAAGAAACGAAAGCCAAACAAAGUCUGUUAUGGAUUUAAUUUUGAAUCCCGUCGAAUCGUGCAACGUUGGGUCCAAACAGAAGGAGGAAGAAAGACUGAGGAAGCGAGCACGAAAAAGAGAGAGAGAGAGAGAGAGAGAGAAAGGGGUGGAAAACUUUCAUAAUCGCGGUUCGCUUUAUCGGACUUCAAAACUUUCAGAGCUGUUUCUGGAUUACGGAAGCCUGAUAAAGGGCCGUGGAGAGGAGAGGGAAACAGAUCAUCUUUGCCCCCCAUGGAAUUCGGAUUUGCGGCGAAGUUGUAUUUGCGAGUCGACGACCCUGAAGAAAAUUCAUGUGGAAAAGCGCGUUGAUUGGAGAAUCCCGGGAACAAAGGUGUAUUCUCCGAAGGCUUCAACUUCUGAAUGACGACCCCUGAUGAAGUUCGAGAGGAAUAUAUAUAUAUUUUUGGCUGUUUUGAAUUGAGAUC